GUCCCCAUCGUCUAGCCCGGUCAGGACACCAGAUUUUCAUUCUGGCGACAGGGGUUCGAAUCCCCUUGGGGAUGCCA
rnacentral:tRNA from 2 species